UUAGGGACAGCGGUUGGUGAUUGGAGGAUACGCUGGACAAGGCAGUACUUAAGGCCAAGUUAUUUCACAGUCCGGGGGCUCUUUCUGGUGUGUGUGAAGCACUGUGUCGUGCCCGUCUUGGUGCGCUGCUGGUGGCUGUCUAACUCUCUCUCUCCCUCAGGCUGGAAUUGUAUGAUUGUGAAGACAUCGCGAACCUUAAAGGUUGAGAAGUGAACGAAUUAUACGGCGAAUUGAGACGACGUGAAAAAGGGGAUUGGAAGCGGCAUUGAUGUGAGUACUAAGAGCAAGCCGAAAGUGCCCUGUAUAUUGACCUGGCGUUGUGUAGAUCUCCCCAGGAGGAGGAGGGCGGCCCUACCCCUAAUAUAGCGUGGUGGGAGAGCCGAAGAAAUACUUAUUGAAGUAGUCACAACGACGACAUCACUAGCUAGGCCGCAUAUUCCAUCGCCAGAUCCGAACCAAGCGAAGUGAAGGAAGACGGGUGUCCUUUUCGUACACUGAGUGUGGUGGGUGAGUCUUCGUGCUGUGAAAACCUAUAAUUUUGACGUGGUGCUGUAUAUUGCUGUGGGUUGCUGUGUAUUGCCGUGUGUCCUGUCAGAUAAACCCCCGCCUUCACGCACUUCGUCGCGGGAGGACAAGGAGACUGCUGGUUCUAGCCUAGUUCAGUACAGUAUAUGUUGUGAGCGUGCUUCAGAUCUCCGGAGAUAGCACGGUACGCUGUGUUCAGCCCAGAGGUGAGAGCCAUUCAAAGCAAACUAACUGUGCUAUUGUGCCCAAGUUGAUACCUGUGGAGAGUGAAGGAAAGAGAGAGUGAGUAACACAAGGAGAAACAGAGGAAACCUGUACUUACAGUACGCUGUGUUCAGCCCAGAGGUGAGAGCCAUUCAAAGCAAACUAACUGUGCUAUUGUGCCCAAGUUGAUACCUGUGGAGAGAAAAGGAGAGAGAGUGGGUAACACGAGGAGAGACCGAGGAAACCUGUACUUACGCCGCUGCCUGUG